GACGAACGCUGGCGGCGUGCUUAACACAUGCAAGUCGAACGGAAAGGCCCCUUCGGGGUACUCGAGUGGCGAACGGGUGAGUAACACGUGAGUAACCUGCCCUUGACUUCGGGAUAACUUCAGGAAACUGGGGCUAAUACCGGAUAGGAAUCCUUGCUGCAUGGUGGGGGUUGGAAAGCUUCGGCGGUUUUGGAUGGACUCGCGGCUUAUCAGCUUGUUGGUGGGGUAGUGGCUUACCAAGGCUUUGACGGGUAGCCGGCCUGAGAGGGCGACCGGCCACAUUGGGACUGAGAUACGGCCCAG
rnacentral:rRNA from 1 species